UACGUAGGGUGCAAGCGUUAAUCGGAAUUACUGGGCGUAAAGCGUGCGCAGGCGGUUUUGUAAGUUUGUCGUGAAAGCCCCGGGCUCAACCUGGGAAUUGCGUUGGAGACUGCAAGGCUGGAGUCUGGCAGAGGGGGGUAGAAUUCCACGUGUAGCAGUGAAAUGCGUAGAGAUGUGGAGGAACACCGAUGGCGAAGGCAGCCCCCUGGGUCAAGACUGACGCUCAUGCACGAAAGCGUGGGGAGCAAACAGG
rnacentral:rRNA from 1 species